CGUGUAGGCGGUCAGGUAAGUGGAAUGUGAAAUGCCCCGGCUCACCCGGGGACCGGCAUCCCAAACUGCCUGGCUUGAGUAUGGGAGAGGGAUGGAGGAAUUCCUGGUGUAGCGGUGAAAUGCGUAGAUAUCAGGAGGAACACCGGUGGCGAAGGCGUCCAUCUGGCCCAAUACUGACGCUGAGGCGCGAAAGCUAGGGGGAGCAAACGG
rnacentral:rRNA from 1 species